rnacentral:rRNA from 1 species
AGCGCAUACGGUGGAUGCCUUGGCAGUCAGAGGCGAUGAAAGACGUGGUAGCCUGCGAAAAGCUUCGGGGAGUCGGCAAACAGACUGUGAUCCGGAGGUAUCUGAAUGGGGGAACCCAGCCAUCAUAAGAUGGUUAUCUUGUACUGAAUACAUAGGUGCAAGAGGCGAACCAGGGGAACUGAAACAUCUAAGUACCCUGAGGAAAAGAAAUCAACCGAGAUUCCCUUAGUAGUGGCGAGCGAACGGGGACCAGCCCUUAAGUUGUAUUGAGAUUAGCGGAACACUCUGGAAAGGGUGGCCAUAGUGGGUGAUAGCCCUGUACGCGAAAAUCCCUUUGCAAUGAAAUCGAGUAGGACGGGGCACGAGAAACCUUGUCUGAAUAUGGGGGGACCAUCCUCCAAGGCUAAAUACUACUGACUGACCGAUAGUGAACCAGUACCGUGAGGGAAAGGCGAAAAGAACCGCGGAGAGCGGAGUGAAAUAGAUCCUGAAACCGUAUGCGUACAAGCAGUGGGAGCCCACUUUGUUGGGUGACUGCGUACCUUUUGUAUAAUGGGUCAGCGACUUAUUUUCAGUGGCGAGCUUAACCGAAUAGGGGAGGCGUAGCGAAAGCGAGUCUUAAUAGGGCGUCUAGUCGCUGGGAAUAGACCCGAAACCGGGCGAUCUAUCCAUGGGCAGGUUGAAGGUUGGGUAACACUAACUGGAGGACCGAACCGACUACCGUUGAAAAGUUAGCGGAUGACCUGUGGAUCGGAGUGAAAGGCUAAUCAAGCUCGGAGAUAGCUGGUUCUCCUCGAAAGCUAUUUAGGUAGCGCCUCAUGUAUCACUGUAGGGGGUAGAGCACUGUUUCGGCUAGGGGGUCAUCCCGACUUACCAAACCGAUGCAAACUCCGAAUACCUACAAGUGCCGAGCAUGGGAGACACACGGCGGGUGCUAACGUCCGUCGUGAAAAGGGAAACAACCCAGACCGUCAGCUAAGGUCCCAAAGUCAUGGUUAAGUGGGAAACGAUGUGGGAAGGCUUAGACAGCUAGGAGGUUGGCUUAGAAGCAGCCACCCUUUAAAGAAAGCGUAAUAGCUCACUAGUCGAGUCGGCCUGCGCGGAAGAUGUAACGGGGCUCAAACCAUGCACCGAAGCUACGGGUAUCAUCUUUUGAUGAUGCGGUAGAGGAGCGUUCUGUAAGCCUGUGAAGGUGAGUUGAGAAGCUUGCUGGAGGUAUCAGAAGUGCGAAUGCUGACAUGAGUAACGACAAUGGGUGUGAAAAACACCCACGCCGAAAGACCAAGGUUUCCUGCGCAACGUUAAUCGACGCAGGGUUAGUCGGUCCCUAAGGCGAGGCUGAAAAGCGUAGUCGAUGGAAAACAGGUUAAUAUUCCUGUACUUCUGGUUAUUGCGAUGGAGGGACGGAGAAGGCUAGGCCAGCCUGGCGUUGGUUGUCCAGGUUUAAGGUGGUAGGCUGAGAUCUUAGGUAAAUCCGGGAUCUUAAGGCCGAGAGCUGAUGACGAGUGUUCUUUAGAACACGAAGUGGUUGAUGCCAUGCUUCCAAGAAAAGCUUCUAAGCUUCAGGUAACCAGGAACCGUACCCCAAACCGACACAGGUGGUUGGGUAGAGAAUACCAAGGCGCUUGAGAGAACUCGGGUGAAGGAACUAGGCAAAAUGGCACCGUAACUUCGGGAGAAGGUGCGCCGGUGAGGGUGAAGCAUUUACUGCGUAAGCUCAUGCCGGUCGAAGAUACCAGGCCGCUGCGACUGUUUAUUAAAAACACAGCACUCUGCAAACACGAAAGUGGACGUAUAGGGUGUGACGCCUGCCCGGUGCCGGAAGGUUAAUUGAUGGGGUUAGCGCAAGCGAAGCUCUUGAUCGAAGCCCCGGUAAACGGCGGCCGUAACUAUAACGGUCCUAAGGUAGCGAAAUUCCUUGUCGGGUAAGUUCCGACCUGCACGAAUGGCGUAACGAUGGCGGCGCUGUCUCCACCCGAGACUCAGUGAAAUUGAAAUCGCUGUGAAGAUGCAGUGUAUCCGCGGCUAGACGGAAAGACCCCGUGAACCUUUACUAUAGCUUUGCACUGGACUUUGAAUUUGCUUGUGUAGGAUAGGUGGGAGGCUUUGAAGCGUGGACGCCAGUCUGCGUGGAGCCAACCUUGAAAUACCACCCUGGCAACUUUGAGGUUCUAACUCAGGUCCGUUAUCCGGAUCGAGGACAGUGUAUGGUGGGUAGUUUGACUGGGGCGGUCUCCUCCUAAAGAGUAACGGAGGAGUACGAAGGUGCGCUCAGACCGGUCGGAAAUCGGUCGUAGAGUAUAAAGGCAAAAGCGCGCUUGACUGCGAGACAGACACGUCGAGCAGGUACGAAAGUAGGUCUUAGUGAUCCGGUGGUUCUGUAUGGAAGGGCCAUCGCUCAACGGAUAAAAGGUACUCCGGGGAUAACAGGCUGAUACCGCCCAAGAGUUCAUAUCGACGGCGGUGUUUGGCACCUCGAUGUCGGCUCAUCACAUCCUGGGGCUGAAGCCGGUCCCAAGGGUAUGGCUGUUCGCCAUUUAAAGUGGUACGCGAGCUGGGUUUAGAACGUCGUGAGACAGUUCGGUCCCUAUCUGCCGUGGACGUUUGAGAUUUGAGAGGGGCUGCUCCUAGUACGAGAGGACCGGAGUGGACGAACCUCUGGUGUUCCGGUUGUCACGCCAGUGGCAUUGCCGGGUAGCUAUGUUCGGAAAAGAUAACCGCUGAAAGCAUCUAAGCGGGAAACUUGCCUCAAGAUGAGAUCUCACUGGAACCUUGA